rnacentral:rRNA from 1 species
AGUGAACGCUGGCGGCAGGCUUAACACAUGCAAGUCGAGCGGGCGCUUCGGGGUCAGUGGCUGACGGGUGAGGAACGUGUGGGAACGUUCAGUCUGGCAUGGAAUUAUCCUGGUAAGCUGGGGCUAACAUCGGAUACGCUACUCUGAGGAAAGGUUCACUGUCCGAGGAUAGGCACGCGUUCGUUUAGCUUGUUGGUGGUGUAACGGCCUAUGUCGGCGUCGCUCGGUAGCUGGUCUGAGAGACUGAGCAGCCACACUGGGACUGAGACCCGGCCCAGACUACUGCGGGAGGCAGCAGUGGGGAAUAUAGGACAAUGGGCGCAAGCCUGAUCCAGCCAUGCCGCGUGAGUGAUGAAGGCCUUAGGGAUGUAAAGCUCUUUUAUCCGGGACGGUAAUGACGGUACCGAAGGAAUAAGCCCCGGCUAACUUCGUG